GGGGACCUGGUCUCUUCUGGCGCUUAGAUAUUGCCAUCCCUCUAGCACCAUUUGAAAUCAGUUUUUC
rfam:Octopus bimaculoides Scaffold1297_contig_477, whole genome shotgun sequence.